AGGAAUAUUGGUCAAUGGACGCAAGUCUGAACCAGCCAUGCCGCGUGAAGGAUGAAGGUCCUCUGGAUUGUAAACUUCUUUUAUCUGGGACGAAAACGGGAUUUUUAUCUCAAUUGACGGUACCAGCGGAAUAAGCACCGGCUAACUCCGUGCCAGCAGCCGCGGUAAUACGGAGGGUGCGAGCGUUAUCCGGAUUUACUGGGUUUAAAGGGUGCGUAGGUGGGCUUAUAAGUCAGUGGUGAAAUCUCCGAGCUUAACUUGAAAACUGCCGUUGAUACUAUAGGUCUUGAAUUAUCUGGAGGUAAGCGGAAUAUGUCAUGUAGCGGUGAAAUGCUUAGAUAUGACAUAGAACACCAAUUGCGAAGGCAGCUUACUACAUAUAGAUUGACGCUGAGGCACGAAAGCGUGGGGAUCAAACA
rnacentral:rRNA from 1 species